CUGAAAAUUGUUUUAUGAGGCUGUGUGUUCACUGUUGGCACAUUGAAUGAUUGACAGCAUUGGAUAAAUAAUGCUCUAUUGGAUAAAUACGUAAAGUACAUUGGACAGCUGAGAUUGUGGUGUGGACAGCUGAGAUUGUGUUUUGGACAGCUGAGAUUGUGACUUGGACAGCUGAGAUUGUGGUGUGGACAGCUGAGAUUGGUGUGGACAGCUGAGAUUGUGGUGUUGACAUCUGAAAUUGGGAUUUGGACAGCUGAGAUUGUGGUGUGGACAGCUGAGAUUGGUGUGGACAGCUGAGAUUGUUGUGUUGACAUCUGAAAUUGGGAUUUGGACAGCUGAGAUUGUGACUUGGACAGCUGAGAUUGUGCUGUGGACAGCUAAAAUUGUGGUGUGGACUACUGAUAUUGUGGUGUUGACAACAUAUUGUGGUGUGCACCUGUGAUAUCGUGGUGUGAUGGUUUAAAGUAGCAAAGGUAAAGAACGUUUGACAGCUUAGAUUGUGGAGUGGACAGCUGAUAUUGUGGUGUGGACAGCUGAGAUUGUCAUGUCGGCUACUUAUAUUGUGGCUUGCAGAGCUGAUAUUGUGGUGUGAUGGUUUAAAGUACUAAAGAUUUAUUCCUUACUACCUUCCUGUCAACUAUAUCUUCCACAGCAUGAUUCAAUCUAGUCCCAAUCAUUGCCUCUGGUUACCUCACCAGAUGGUCCGUCCACAGUCAAAAGCAACAGAUACUAAAACUCGGCAAAGUACAUGUACUUCAGUCUUCCAGAGGAUAUUGUUAACAAUGAUGAUUUGAUGUUAAAAAGAAAAUGUAUUUGAAUAGCUAUAUUUCUCUUGUGUCACUUGGGUGUCAAAGGUCAUUUUAGAGAUUGUCCGGGCGGUAACUUUGCAAGGCAUAAACGGGCUUAAAUGUUUGCUCAGCUAGACAGUGU
rnacentral:lncRNA from 1 species